UGAAAAACAUUUUUCCACAUUCAGAACAGCAAUAUGGCUCCUCUCCAGUAUGAAUUUGUGUGUGCCUUUGAGAACUGUGUUUGUCAGAAAAUUGUUUGCCACAUUCUGGACAACAAUAAGGUUUUUCUCCUGUGUGGAUUCUUCUGUGACUCUGAAGAUAGCUUUUACAUGAGAACGACUUACCACAUUCUGGACAGCAAUAAGGCUUUUCUCCUGUGUGGAUUCUUCUGUGACUCUGAAGAGAGCUUUUACAUGAGAACAAUUUACCACAGUCUGGACAACAAUGAGGUUUUUCUCCUGUGUGGAUUCUUCUGUGACUCUGAAGAUAGCUUUUACAUGAGAACAACUUACCACAUUCUGGACAGCAAUGAGGUUUUUCUCCUGUGUGGAUUAUUCUGUGGUUCUCAAGACGGCAUCUCAUUGAGAAUCGUUUACCAC